UACGAAGGGGGCUAGCGUUGCUCGGAAUCACUGGGCGUAAAGCGCACGUAGGCGGAUUCCUAAGUCGGGGGUGAAAUCCUGGAGCUCAACUCCAGAACUGCCCUCGAUACUGGGAAUCUUGAGUCCGGAAGAGGUGAGUGGAACUGCGAGUGUAGAGGUGAAAUUCGUAGAUAUUCGCAAGAACACCAGUGGCGAAGGCGGCUCACUGGUCCGGUACUGACGCUGAGGUGCGAAAGCGUGGGGAGCAAACAGG
rnacentral:rRNA from 1 species